rnacentral:rRNA from 1 species
UACGUAGGGUGCGAGCGUUUAAUCGGAAUUACUGGGCGUAAAGCGUGCGCAGGCGGUUUUGUAAGACAGAGGUGAAAUCCCCGGGCUCAACCUGGGAACUGCAUCCGAAACUGCCUUGCUAGAGUAUGGGAGAGGGAAGUGGAAUUUCCGGUGUAGCGGUGAAAUGCGUAGAUAUCGGAAGGAACAUCAGUGGCGAAGGCGACUUCCUGGACCAAUACUGACGCUCAGGUGCGAAAGCGUGGGGAGCAAACAGG